rnacentral:rRNA from 1 species
CUACGGGGGGCUGCAGUGAGGAAUAUUGCACAAUGGGGGGAACCCUGAUGCAGCAACGCCGCGUGGAGGAUGACGCAUUUCGGUGUGUAAACUCCUUUUAUAUGUCAAGAAAAUGACGGUAGCAUAUGGAUAAGCACCGGCUAACUCCGUGCCAGCAGCCGCGGUAAUACGGAGGGUGCAAGCGUUACUCGGAAUCACUGGGCGUAAAGGACGCGUAGGCGGGUUGGAAAGUCAGGUGUGAAAUCCUACAGCUUAACUGUAGAACUGCACUUGAAACUUCUAAUCUAGAGUAUGGGAGGGGGAGAUGGAAUUCGUGGUGUAGGGGUAAAAUCCGUAGAUAUCACUAGGAAUACCUAAAGCGAAGGCGAUCUCCUGGAACAUUACUGACGCUAAGGCGUGAAAGCGUGGGGAGCAAACAGGAUUAGAUACCCCUGUAGUC